GAUGAAGAACGUAGCGAAAUGCGAUAGGUAAUGUGAAUUGCAGAAUUCAGUGAAUCAUCGAAUCUUUGAACGCACAUUGCGCCCCCUGGUAUUCCGGGGGGCAUACCUGUUCGAGCGUCAUUUCAACCCUCAAGCUCUGCUUGGUAUUGAGUCCAUGUCAGCAAUGGCAGGCUCCAAAAUCAGUGGCGGCGCCGCUGGGUCCUGAACGUAGUAAUAUCUCUCGUUACAGGUGCUCGGCGUGCUUCUGCCAAAACCCCAAUUUUUCUAUGGUUGACCUCGGAUCAGGUAGGGAUACCCGCUGAACUUAAGCAUAUCAAUAAGCGGAGGA
rnacentral:misc_RNA from 1 species